rnacentral:rRNA from 1 species
UACGAAGGGGGCUAGCGUUGUUCGGAAUCACUGGGCGUAAAGCGCACGUAGGCGGAUGUGCCAGUCAGGGGUGAAAUCCCGGAGCUCAACUUCGGAACUGCCUCUGAUACAGCACGUCUUGAGUCCGGAAGAGGUGGGUGGAAUUCCUAGUGCAGAGGUGAAAUUCGUAGAUAUUAGGAAGAACACCGGUGGCGAAGGCGGCCCACUGGUCCGGUACUGACGCUGAGGUGCGAAAGCGUGGGGAGCAAACAGG